ensembl:misc_RNA Metazoa_SRP Metazoan signal recognition particle RNA
GCCAGGCUUGGUGGUGUGUGCCUGUAAUCCCAGCUACUCAGGAGGCUGGGGCAGGAGGAUCGCUUGAGCCCAGGAGUUUGAGGCUGCAGGGAGCUAUGAUCAUGCCACUGCACUCCAGCCAGGGCAACAGAGCGAGACCCUGUCUCAA